AAAAUUGAAACUAAAUUUAAGUGCUUGAUUGUUAAUCAAGUUUUAGCAGAUUUGAAUUCUGUCAGUUUUG
rnacentral:tRNA from 1 species